rnacentral:misc_RNA from 1 species
AAAGCUCACGUGGAGAUGUAUCCGGGUAUACUUUUUGGCCCAUUUCGAAGACAAACACCCCGGUCCAGUUCUCUCAACCUUCCCCAGUUUGGAAGGGACACGAGCGGAUCAGAACGACCGCGCCCUCCGUCGCCACCACCAUCCGCUCUGUCGCCGCUCUGCUGCCGCUCCAUCGUCGUCCACACUAAUGCCAUCCGCUCUACCGCCGCUCCAUCGUCGUCCUUCCUCGAUGCAAUCGCGAGCGAUACGUGAGGCGACAGUGCCCUCCACCACCGCCAUCGUCUCAGAUUUGUCGUCCUCCACCGCCAUCUCUGCCCUCAGUUUGCUGUCCUCCACCGUCGUCUUCCGUGGCACGAUUACAAUGUUGUCUCCAAGACCUAGUACAUGGUCUUCUCCAAGAUCCAGUACAAGGUCGUCUCCUCCAAGAUCCGAACCCCAAUGCUAGUGAGGAAGGCAGACUCCUCUAUUGUUGGUGACUUUUUAGCUACUGUGCAUGCAAAUAGGAAAACAUUCAGAUUUUUUUAGCGAGUGGAGGCAGCACAUGAAACCAACAUGGAGAAGAAAAAUGAAAUGGCAUUCCACAUGAAGCUUGUGAAAAAAGAGUUAAACUCGUAAUUUAUUCUAGUGCCGAAGUUCCUAACCAAGAGACUUGUAUUCCAUUUUUAUAUUAUAUUGUCUAUCUAUAUGUGUGAAUAGAGGCAACCUUAUAUGAUGUGAUGAUGGAUGAAUUAGCUUCGAUGGAUAUUAUAUGGUAUUCAAAUUAAACUUUACAUGAAUCAUAUGUGGUGCAUUAUUUUUGGAUUUUA